rnacentral:sRNA from 1 species
ACACAGCCAGGUAACAGCAAGGUGGGGUUGGAGUCAGGGCCUAGGGUGGCAGCUGCCAAGCUGUGCAACAAAGCUGUUUUCUGCGGGAGGCUGAGGACCACACACCACUUCCCACUCCAGGCUGAGCUGGAGAUUCAGAAAGACGCCUUGGAGCCAGGACAGAGGGUGGUCGUCGUGGAUGAUCUGCUGGCCACUGGUGUAUGAGUGACCGCAGGGCCUCCCAGCCCAACAUCUCCAGCUGGAUCCCAGGGAAAUAUCAGCCUUGGGCAACUGCAGUGACCAGGGGCACCGGCUGCCCACAGGGAACACAUUCCUUUGCUGGGGUUCAGCGCCUCUCCUGGGGCUGGAAGUGCCAAAGCCUGGGGCAAAGCUGUGUUUCAGCCACCCUGGACCCAAUUACACACAGCGGGAGAACGCAGUAAACAGCUUUCCCACAA